CCUACGGGUGGCAGCAGUGAGGAAUAUUGGUCAAUGGGCGCGAGCCUGAACCAGCCAAGUCGCGUGAGGGAAGACGGUCCUAUGGAUUGUAAACCUCUUUUGUCGGGGAGCAAAACACGCUACGCGUGGCGUUCCGCGAGUACCCGAAGAAAAAGCAUCGGCUAACUCCGUGCCAGCAGCCGCGGUAAUACGGAAGAUGCGAGCGUUAUCCGGAUUUAUUGGGUUUAAAGGGUGCGCAGGCGGUCUGUUAAGUCAGCUGUCAAAGGCCCGGGCUCAACCCCGGCCCGGCGGUGAAAACUGGCAGUCUUGAGUUGGAGAGAAGCAGGCGGAAUGCGCGGUGUAGCGGUGAAAUGCUUAGAUAUGGCGAAGAACUCCGAUUGCGAAGGCAGCAUACUGGCGCCGAACUGACGCUGAUGCUCGAAAGCGUGGGUAUCGAACAGGAUUAGAUACCCGGGUAGUC
rnacentral:rRNA from 1 species